UACGUAGGGUGCGAGCGUUAAUCGGAAUUACUGGGCGUAAAGCGUGCGCAGGCGGCGCCGCAAGUCGAGUGUGAAAUCUCCGAGCUUAACUUGGGAAUUGCGCUCGAAACUACGGUGCUGGAGUGUGGCAGAGGGAGGUGGAAUUCCCGGUGUAGCGGUGAAAUGCGUAGAAAUCGGGAGGAACACCUGAGGCGAAGGCGGGCUACUGGGCUGAUACUGACGCUGAUGCGCGAAAGCCAGGGGAGCAAACGGG
rnacentral:rRNA from 1 species